rnacentral:rRNA from 1 species
GAUGAACGCUGGCGGCGUGCCUAAUACAUGCAAGUCGAGCGAACGGACGAGAAGCUUGCUUCUCUGAUGUUAGCGGCGGACGGGUGAGUAACACGUGGAUAACCUACCUAUAAGACUGGGAUAACUUCGGGAAACCGGAGCUAAUACCGGAUAAUAUUUUGAACCGCAUGGUUCAAAAGUGAAAGACGGUCUUGCUGUCACUUAUAGAUGGAUCCGCGCUGCAUUAGCUAGUUGGUAAGGUAACGGCUUACCAAGGCAGCGAUGCAUAGCCGACCUGAGAGGGUGAUCGGCCACACUGGAACUGGGACACGGUCCAGACUCCUACGGGAGGCAGCAGUAGGGAAUCUUCCGCAAUGGGCGAAAGCCUGACGGAGCAACGCCGCGUGAGUGAUGAAGGUCUUCGGAUCGUAAAACUCUGUUAUUAGGGAAGAACAUAUGUGUAAGUAACUGUGCACAUCUUGACGGUACCUAAUCAGAAAGCCACGGCUAACUACGUG